AAACCAGAUAAAGCUUCAUCUCCUUUCCUCCGUUUCUAUCCAUCUUUCUUAUUCUUUACCAAGACAAAUUGCAUGUUUAACUGUUUGCAAGCUAUCGAUAUUUUUCAGAUGAUGUGAAACUAGACUAGAUAACAAAAGUAGACUAGAUAAACGUCAUAUACCAGCAGGUGUGGCGCAAGCAAGAGCAAUUUAUUAUUUUUUAAAAAACUUUUUUUCCUUUCCAUGAAAUACCUUUUGAUUUUCUUCAUUUUGAUUAAAUCCAUAUCUCACGCUAUAUAAAUUGUACAACUUAUUAUGCUUCAUAACCCCUGAGUAUUCGAUUGAAUCGAACAAUCAGGCCGUUCCUUGUCUUCCAAAUAAAUUUGAAAAUUAAGAUAUCAUAACACGUGUCCCAUAGACCCCGAGUUUUAAAUCUAAAUCAUUGAGAAAAAGUAUCCAAAAUAACAUACGAAAAUAUAGUUGAACAAAUUGUUUUGAUGGUUAAUUUGGAUUUAUUCGAUCAAAAUUUUAAAAACCUUUUUCGGAAUAAAAUCCCUAAAAACGAUUAAACAAAUAACUUCCCGAAACAAAACUUGAAAUUACUGCAAAAACUAAUCUUAUCCCGUGAAGAACUAUUAUGCUUCCACAAAACUACUAUUUUGCACCGCUAAUUAUUUUUACUGCAAGGUAAUUAUAGGUAAAUCCACUUCCAUUGCUCUGUCACUUCAUCUUCCUCUACUUCAUCGUCGCUGCCAUUUCUAGAUUCAGAUUCAGAUCUGCUUGUCGGCCACCUCCUCGUUUUAGCAAUCGAGUCGCCAGGGCUUUCUCCCUCAGAUCCACACAUCCGCCACUCCUCUCAUAAGCCCCUGAGCGUGUUGGAGUGAAGGAACUCAUACCCCAGAGAUGGUAGGCAAGAAUAACGCCAACAAAGAAAAGGGGGGAAGCAGUCAAUGGAAGCGGCUCUGCUUGUCGAUUUGUGGUGGAAAAGUAAGUGCUCUGAAACUGAUCUCUUGAGACUUAUUGAUGAGGGCCUUCUUGAGCCCAAAGAAAUAAUGUAGUGGCGCCCAACCGGAUCAGAUGCUACUCUGAACAAAUGGAUGUGAUUAUUCUAUUUCAACAAUUUGUUGAGCCUGGCUUGGCCCUCUCUGCUUCUGAUUUAAUUUUCUUCACGGAUUACUGUACUACCGUGGUAUCAGAUCCACCAUCUGAAUCCCAACUGUAUCUUGCAUAUUUCCAUUCAACCCUAUCUUGCAUAUUUCCAUUUUUGUUCAAUUGUGAGAAACAUUCCUUAGCAUCAAGCCCCACUAAGAUCUUUUUCGUCAUCUCUUCCAUCUGAAACCCCAUCACAACGACAAAAACAUCAAUGUAGUCGAAGGAUCUGGGUUCCAACUUAGGUAGGAGAUGGACAAGCACUAUAUCAAGUACAAAUAUCCGAGUAGUCUGGCUGGCUGGAAAGACUAUUGGUUUUAUAUCGAGAAUAUAAGCCAGCACUUCCAAAAUAGCACCCGUACCCAAUCCAACCCAACUCAGUCUGGAAUGAAAAAGUACCCGAAGUAGACAUGGUUAGCCAAGCCCAUCCAACCCCUACAAAAGUGCGAGCGGUUUGGGGCGACGCGACCAGGGGCCAAGCAUCAUUCAUUAUAUACGGGGAGGCGCUCGAGCUCUUGGGACUCGCAUGCUCGGAACGGUCUACCAUGCCUAGUCAGACUGACCUUAUUGGUGCAGAGGCAUCAGCCCAGACACGACGCGAGGUCCGCAUCGGGUCGGGCCAAGCCCAAUUAUCCUCGUGCCAUGGGCCGGCCCAUGGGACUCGGACCGGAUGGAAAACUAUACUAAUAGUUAGUAAUAUUUUAUACAUAUAUACUAGGCAAAUAUACCCACAUGUUGCUACGGAUUAUAGAUAUCAAAUAAGUAUAAUUAUUCAUGCGUUAAUUUUAUAUCUUUACGUGAGCAAGUCAUGUACGGAGGGUUGGUUAAGUACCAUUCAUCGGAGCAUGCCCAUCGUUGUAGUCUUUUUCUUUCAAGUUUUGGUCCCAUGGUCCCUUCCAUUUACACACAUUUUGAAGUAGCAAUUAAUAAAUUUUAUUUUUUUCCUACCUCGCCGUAUCCUAACCGUGCCCGGUCCAAAGAGCGAAGCUCGGUCCGGGUAAAUACCAAAGGUCGUUGACUCCCAAUCCGUUUUCCACGCAAAUGCAAGACACUCAUCUCAUUUAUUUAGAGCUACAGACCGAGGGGGCACGGACGCCGACGGCGGCGGCGGCCGUGUCUCUCCACGACAUCAAGCCACAUUUGAGAGGGUGGCGGCUUCCUCCCUUCACCUGUGCUCUGUCGUUCGCGACCUGCGGCGAGCCACUCUCGAUCUGUUGUCAUCGGCAGCGGAGGUGCAUUUCCAUCAGCCCCAAUGGAUUGAGGGCUACAACACAUGAAACCGAUGGCGUUCCAUGGCAGCUGCGCAUUCGGAUGGACGAAUGGCGGUGGAGGUAGCGGCGGCAGCUUUGGACAGCUUGGAGCCAUUCUAGAGGUCCUUAGCCAUUGCUCGUUAGCGGUGAGCGCACGGGGAGGGGUGGAUGGACGCGGCUCUGCACGGUGACGGAGGAGAGGGUCGCACUUGCCGGCGACACUUGUGAUUCCCACGAGAUUUAGGAACCCCUGCUUGUUUCUUCAUACUACAGAGUACGGGAGAAGGUGCAUGCUCUGUUUGUGCAUUGGAGGCUUGGAGCCAUACAAUGAUCAGGAAGUGAGAGUGGCAGGAGCAAUAAGUAGUACGAGUUCAGAUGGAUAUAUAGUUCACGAAUCACUUCUAUGAUAUUAAGCAGUUACAUUGGGAGAGGAAUGAUCAUCUUCCUUUUGAUUCCUCUCUAAUUUGCUCAUCAAUUUCAAUAAUUUGUGCAAUCAUUUUGAAGCAAAUGAGUUUAGUUUGACAUCA